GAUUUCCUCCUUGUCUACGAUAGCAAUAAGGUUAUUAAAAUGGCUAAAUCAUUGUCGCUUCUCAGCUUUUUAGUCAUUCUUAUUCUUCUCAGCUCAGGUACAUAAUAUUUUUCUGCAAGAACAUUAGACUAAUUUACCAACACUAAUGGUACAUUUGUAUAUUUAGAUAUAUAAUAUCAUGUUAAAACAAAUAUUCUUAUGAUGUUCGAUUGUCCAUUCUGUAGCUACUAGUAUGGAGGCUAUGGGAACUAUGAUAUUCUCAUGCAGAUCAGUGCAAGCAGACCUCCAGUGCACAACUGUAGCGGACCUAGCCUGUGUUGAUAGAUGCCACUCAAAGUUUGGCGCCACCAAUAACGAACCAGUCUGUGAAACUGUCCACUAUUUGCCCAAUGUAUUAACUUGCACAUGUAGAUAUCCUUGCUAGAUGUUCUUGUUCUCUCGUCAUGUGUCUGGAUUAUGAAUAAAAAAUAACUAAAAUAUAUGUCUUUCAUAAUAUAUAAUCAAUAUGGAUCGUCCAUCUCUCUCUCUCUCUCCCAUGGUUUUACUAAUUUUAUUAUCUUUGGGGAUUUUAUUUGUCAAAUUUUUAUUUCCUCACUUUGAUAAGUGAUAUUCGGUUUUGUAUUAAUUAAUUACAAUUUAUGAAAUUCGAACUUUAGACGCAUGAAGGUUAGAGGGAGCACUUCGACUCUAGCUAAUAUGGCUGUAUCCAUAUUUAUGUGCUUUGACAUUUAAAACGAUAUUAAACAAUAUUUAUCAUGGUUCUAAAAGACACUACGCGCUAGUCGAGUGGCGGGCUGGGGCCUAGCGCCUAAGCGG
rnacentral:lncRNA from 1 species